UCGACUGUUGCCAAUAGUGGAACUCCGAAAUGGGAAUUCACUGUAAUGUCAAGAGACCAGCCGCAGCGCCUGUAAUGUCGAGCGAUAAAAAAAAUCUCGAGAGUUUGACGAGCAACCUAACCAAUAGACCCAAUCCACUGAGUUUCUCACCGGUUCGCGAUUCCGACCCAGUGUCCGGCCUGCCAGGAGUGCGGAGGAUCGUAGAUGAAGAGGUACGGCUCCAGAGGUCUACUUCUCUGUCGCCCGCACAAGGUCAAUCCUCACUUUGUUGUCCGGCUGUUGAGUACUUUGGGAAUUUAUUUUAAUUUAAUUUUUGUUACAUCUGUAUUUCGUUUGAUUAAUACUUAAAAAUAACGAUAUGGCGUCAUAAAGAUAUUUAUUUAUAAAAA